AGCGAACGCUGGCGGCAGGCCUAACACAUGCAAGUCGAGCGCCCCGCAAGGGGAGCGGCAGACGGGAGAGUAACACGUGGGAACGUACCCUUUGGUUCGGAACAACCCAGGGAAACUUGGGCUAAUACCGGAUAAGCCCUUACGGGGAAAGAUUCAUCGCCGAAGGAUCGGCCCGAGUCUGAUUAGCUAGUUGGUGGGGUAACGGCCCACCAAGGCGACGAUCAGUAGCUGGUCUGAGGGGAUGAUCAGCCUCAAUGGGACUGAGACACGGCCCAGACUCCUACGGGAGGCAGCAGUGGGGAAUAUUGGACAAUGGGCGCAAGCCUGAUCCAGCCAUGCCGCGUGGGUGAUGAAGGCCCUAGGGUUGUAAAGCCCUUUCGGCGGGGAAGAUAAUGACGGUACCCGCAGAAGAAGCCCCGGCUAACUUCGUGCCAGCAGCCGCCGUAAGAC
rnacentral:rRNA from 1 species